UUAAAUUGAAGAGUUUGAUCAUGGCUCAGAUUGAACGCUGGCGGCAGGCCUAACACAUGCAAGUCGAACGGUAACAGGAAGCAGCUUGCUGCUUCGCUGACGAGUGGCGGACGGGUGAGUAAUGUCUGGGAAACUGCCUGAUGGAGGGGGAUAACUACUGGAAACGGUGGCUAAUACCGCAUAACGUCGCAAGACCAAAGAGGGGGACCUUCGGGCCUCUUGCCAUCAGAUGUGCCCAGAUGGGAUUAGCUUGUUGGUGAGGUAACGGCUCACCAAGGCGACGAUCCCUAGCUGGUCUGAGAGGAUGACCAGCCACACUGGAACUGAGACACGGUCCAGACUCCUACGGGAGGCAGCAGUGGGGAAUAUUGCACAAUGGGCGCAAGCCUGAUGCAGCCAUGCCGCGUGUAUGAAGAAGGCCUUCGGGUUGUAAAGUACUUUCAGCGGGGAGGAAGGUGUUGUGGUUAAUAACCGCAGCAAUUGACGUUACCCGCAGAAGAAGCACCGGCUAACUCCGUGCCAGCAGCCGCGGUAAUACGGAGGGUGCAAGCGUUAAUCGGAAUUACUGGGCGUAAAGCGCACGCAGGCGGUCUGUCAAGUCGGAUGUGAAAUCCCCGGGCUCAACCUGGGAACUGCAUUCGAAACUGGCAGGCUUGAGUCUUGUAGAGGGGGGUAGAAUUCCAGGUGUAGCGGUGAAAUGCGUAGAGAUCUGGAGGAAUACCGGUGGCGAAGGCGGCCCCCUGGACAAAGACUGACGCUCAGGUGCGAAAGCGUGGGGAGCAAACAGGAUUAGAUACCCUGGUAGUCCACGCCGUAAACGAUGUCUACUUGGAGGUUGUGCCCUUGAGGCGUGGCUUCCGGAGCUAACGCGUUAAGUAGACCGCCUGGGGAGUACGGCCGCAAGGUUAAAACUCAAAUGAAUUGACGGGGGCCCGCACAAGCGGUGGAGCAUGUGGUUUAAUUCGAUGCAACGCGAAGAACCUUACCUGGUCUUGACAUCCACGGAAGUUUUCAGAGAUGAGAAUGUGCCUUCGGGAACCGUGAGACAGGUGCUGCAUGGCUGUCGUCAGCUCGUGUUGUGAAAUGUUGGGUUAAGUCCCGCAACGAGCGCAACCCUUAUCCUUUGUUGCCAGCGAUUCGGUCGGGAACUCAAAGGAGACUGCCAGUGAUAAACUGGAGGAAGGUGGGGAUGACGUCAAGUCAUCAUGGCCCUUACGACCAGGGCUACACACGUGCUACAAUGGCGCAUACAAAGAGAAGCGACCUCGCGAGAGCAAGCGGACCUCAUAAAGUGCGUCGUAGUCCGGAUUGGAGUCUGCAACUCGACUCCAUGAAGUCGGAAUCGCUAGUAAUCGUGGAUCAGAAUGCCACGGUGAAUACGUUCCCGGGCCUUGUACACACCGCCCGUCACACCAUGGGAGUGGGUUGCAAAAGAAGUAGGUAGCUUAACCUUCGGGAGGGCGCUUACCACUUUGUGAUUCAUGACUGGGGUGAAGUCGUAACAAGGUAACCGUAGGGGAACCUGCGGUUGGAUCACCUCCUUACCUUAAAGAAGC
rnacentral:rRNA from 4 species